AAUGGGACUGCCGUUGACAAAACGGAGGAAGGUGGGGAUGACGUCAAAUCAUCAUGCCCCUUAUGACCUGGGCUACACACGUACUACAAUGGCAAUAAAACAGAGGGAAGCAAAACAGCGAUGUGGAGCAAAUCCCGAAAAAUUGUCUCAGUUCAGAUUGCAGGCUGAAACUCGCCUGCAUGAAGUCGGAAUUGCUAGUAAUCGCAGAUCAGCAUGCUGCGGUGAAUACGUUCCCGGGCCUUGUACACACCGCCCGUCACACCAUGGGAGUCGGUAACACCCGAAGCCGAUAGUCUAACCUGCAAAGGAGGACGUCGUCGAAGGUGGGAUUGAUGACUGGGGUGAAGUCGUAACAAGGUAGCCGUAUCGGAAGGUGCGGCUGGAUCACCUCCUUU
rnacentral:rRNA from 1 species